UUUUGUCAAGAAAUGUUUAUUUAGUAUGUUUGCAUUACCGAUAUAUGAAUACAGAGAUGUAAAUUUAUUACGUAUACAGGAUAUAUAGAUAUCCCAGAAUACACAGGGAGGUAGAGCAGUAGGAGCAUCGCCAGAAAGGUUUUUGCGCGUCGAUCAAUUCAGAACCAAGCACCUAGCAAGUGAGGUUGUUCCCUGGGUCGACGCCGAACUGCUGGCAGUAGUCCGUGUAGUAGCCCGCCCGCGCGCUCACCAAGUCUGGCUUCUUGCCGUCGCACUCCACGUCACCGUUGAUUGCCCUGGUCGUCGCGCCGAACCCACUGGGCACGGCCUGGUGCACGUUGGUCAUCCAGAACCAGAACGCCGCCUUGAACGUUAGCGCCUGGUCCUGCGCCACCGUCUCCGGGCUGUUGAGCCCGUCGAACCCGGUGCUCUCCCCGGCCGCCCCGUAGUUGUAGUUCCACGACAGCUGCAGCGGCCCGCGCCCGUAGUACGCCUUCCCCGGGGUACACGGCCAUUGCGUGUUCGUCUCGUCGCAGUAAUCCUUGCUCGCCCCUUCGUUCUCCUCGAUGGAGCACAUGUCUGCACGCAAGUUACAUAUAGCCUGCUUAAUUAUGGAGAGGUGAAUUCGUCCAGUGUUAAGUUGGAGGUGAACUUACGUCCGGUCUCGUGGGUGAAGUGGGCGAAGAAGGCGGCUAUCUCCCUCUUGCCGUCGUCGCUGGUGCUGCCUUUGCCGAAGUCGGGGUUCGCCUGGGCGCCGUCCAGGAAAAACUGGCGCGUGUAAAAGCUCUUCCCGGGGCACCCGUCGGCGGCCUGGGACUUGAUCCCGUCAAAGAACGCGUCGGUGACGACGCUCUCCACGGGAUCGCCGCUCCCGCCGCCGCUCGCCGUGCACGGGCCCGACCGACAAUCUUGUCCGCAGUAGCUGGCAUCGGUCCCGCAAUAACCGUACUUGCUGCAGCACUCGUUCGGCUGGCAGCCGCAGUUCUGCGCGGCCACCAGCCCGGCGCCGGAUAGGACUAGUGCUGCUAGCCCGAGAGCCAAGAUCGCCAUGGGCGACUUCGCCAUGUCGAAUCAAGGUUUGAUUGUUGAGGCUGUAGCAGCUGCUUGCUUACGAGGUGACUGUGCAUGGCAAGGCGCGGUGAAAAGCGGUUUAUAUAGGCAGUGGAUGUUGAUCUUGUGGACGACUAUGGCGUCAAGGUUGGACUAGAUCAAACCGACCUUCGGUCACAGAUUCACACGGCUCGUCUACUUUUCUUUGCAGGGGUCAUGUUUCAAAGCUUAGACCAUCUAUAGCCGCGCAAACGUCCGCAAACGCUCUUUAGCCGAGCACCCCUCAAAUAAUAUAAUCCACAUCCGAACAUCUUAAUUAUAUUAUCUCAAAUUCAUUCAAACUCAUGCAACUACGUUAAUGCACACACAUCGUCCGAUUACUCCAUCACUUCUAACUAAAUAUGCCAUCGGACUAUCAAAAUUUGAUAUGUUUGGCUAUGGGGAAUUCAUUCACGUCUGCCCUUGCCCUUCCCGGUGUCCUUGCUGUCCUUCUCGCGGAAGUACCGGUCGAAAACGCAGUACGGAUCGAGCCGGAUUCUGCUCGUCGCCGAAGCCGUCCUCGCAGUCAUUAUCCUCCUUCUCCUCCUUCGGUGGCAGCCCGGCCAUGGCACGGACCGCCCGAUUUUGUUCUCGGGCGAGGGCGCGCGUGUUCCUCCGCUGCCGUUUCUUCACAAUACGAGCGCGGAUGGCUUCCUCCUCUGCGGCCGCCCGUGCCACCGCAUCAGCCGCCUCCGCUGCUGCAAUUUCCGCGGGCCUUGGCGGCCCUUAUCCUCUCUUUCCCACGGCAGGCCGCCUGUUCCCGGUGGGACUCACAGUCUGCCCGACCGGUGAUGGGAAAGGGGAGGGGUUUCGGCUGCCGGGACCGCGGGGAUCCAGCCCUAGAGGACCCGAGCGCCCGUUGAGCCGACGCUAUGGAGUCAUGGCGGACAGAUCCGUUCAUCGGCCGGGCGCUGUCCUCCCCGGAGCAGCGGCGUACAAUGCAGACCGUCAUUGCCUCGUCCAACCUACACAGAAUGGCACCCAAGUCUGACGAAUUCGGACUGGUCCGAGUCAGAUCCGCUGCCUGCCAUGCCGGAUUAGGCCGGAAACCGCCGAAGGUGAGCUCGGGUGGUUGAGGGAGUUGAGGGAAGUGGCGUGAAAUGGUUAGGGUUUAGUCCGACGAGCGCAUGGGGACGAAUAUAUGUAGGGUCGGGUGGGCCAGCAUGGGCUGGAUCCGACGUGACGGCGUGCCCGGGCGCCGCAUAUCCGCCUCGUAUUUAGGAUGGAUAUAAAGGGUGUCGGUCAGUCCGGACGUUUGAGCACCGUUUAAAACGCCCGUCUAAAUAAAAAACCAUGACCGGUCAGUAAUAGGGGGGACCGUCCAGAUGUUUGAGAAGUGCUAGGGGCGCCCGACCGUAAAUGCUCUUAGUCUGAUGCGUACCCUGCACGCCCUUGCACUUGCUGUCGCACUGUACGAGAGUUCGGCAGGUUCAGACCAAAUGCUCGUCGUGUUGACCGGGGAAUUAAUCCCAGCCCCGGCGUGCUGCUCCCUCCAAGUUCCAUCCUUUUUCCACGUCGGUGCUUGGUAGCUAGUGCCGUUACCCUUCUGGUACGUGUAUUGUGCUCUCUCUGCGCGGACAGUAGUGAGUUACACAUGCAUAUCCGGGUUCACGGAAGCUUCACAGAAAGCGCGAAUUUAUUGAUACCCAGCAAGACAGCAGAAAACAGCUUGAUCAGUCUAGAAAGGAAGACUCUUCAUGUUCAGUCCACUGUGGAAAUGCUGGGUCAUUCAACGGCUAAAGUAGGCGCUUGUUGCUGUCAAAGAUUGCUAAGAGCAUCUACAACCAUAAAUCGUAAAUCCGUCCCGGACGCGUUCACGGACAAUGACCGAUCAACACACAAACAAUCGUUUCUACAAUCAGAUACCCCAUUCACAAAUAAUCAAAUCCAUAAGAUCACAUGCAACUAAAACUAUUUUGCCGGCGCCCGUCCUUGUUGUUCCGGCCAUGUUCAUGUCUGGCAGCCGGCUGCGCCCCUCGGAGUGAAGGUGCGGUCGCCGGCGAGGUAGAUUAGGGCAUAGGACACGCAUCGACGUCUCCCAUGCCCUACUCUUCCUCAUCGGAUCCCGGAGCCUGCACGUCGCUGGUGGACGUGAGAUUGACAAUGGAUCAGUCGUGGUUGGAGGCCGACACGUCCACCACGACGGUUGCGGUGCGCUAGAGAGACGACUUUGCCUCGCCGGCGUCUGCCGUGAGGGCUGCCGCUGUCUCCUGCUCGCUGCCUCGCACGACGGGCACGCCGCACUAUAUUUUUAUCGGACGUGAAGUGGUUGUGCACCUCCGCCUUGACGCGUCAACGAAGCGGUUGUGCAUCCGCCACAAUGUUCGGACUCCGGACAGACCGCUCCACCUUCGGCAAGGCAGCGGAGAUGCGCCUCACGUCAGAUCCAUGCACCAUUCAGGAGGACGCAAUGGAUGCUUGCUGGAUGGAGUCCGUCACUGUUGGGCAGACUCCUCCUGGGGGCGGCGGAGCGCAAUGCGGACAACCAUCUCCUCCUCGGGGCCGCGUGGGACGAGUACCCAGUCAACAGAUCAGGAGGUGUAGGACUCGGAUCAGCUGCCUGCCAUGCCGGAGAAGGCCGGAGAUCGCCAAAAAAGGGAGCUUGGGGUGGAGGGGAAUGGAGGGGAAUGCGUCCAGGGUUUUGUCUGAAGUACGGAUCGGGUUCAAUAUAUGUGGGGUCGGGUGGCCACAGUCGGACUGAUCCAAUGUGGUGGGUGCGUUUGGGCAUCCCAUAUCCGUCCUAAAUAUGGGCUGGAUAUGAGGGUUGCCUGUUAGUCUGGCGUUUGGGACAGAUUUGCCAUGUUCGGUUUUGUGGCAAUUUUGCAUGCGACAAGAGUUCGGGCAGCCCACCCAGACGUUUGGAUUGGAUAUGGGGUCCGGAUAUAGAUGCUCUAACUAGGAGAAGACAUGUUUCUGAUGUUGCUAUCAUAAACAAGAGUGUUGUAUUUUUUGUUGAAAAGUAAUUCAUUAUAUUAAUUAAAAAUAAUAGUUUUAUAAUUGUUUGUUACAGGCUUACAACAGUCACCACAUAGGGUGGAACACCAAUUACAAGUAAACCCUGAGUUAUAAAGUUAGUCCAUAAAAAUUAUAGAAGUUAUAUAAAAAAUGCACCAAAACCAUAUAAAACUAUUGUAAACAUGGCAUUAAUACUUCAAAAAUUAUAGAUACAUUGGAGACGUAUUAAGUCACACCCAGUGUGUGCAAAAUCCUGACUCGCUUUUCUUUCUAUUCUAUCAAAAAGUUCAAGCAACCCGAGUGGAUUUAAACAACUUUUCCUCUUUCCAACUUAGUUGCAGCAUGUCUACCUAGAUGGUCACAAGAGAGUUCCUUAACAAGAUUCAACCGGACGAAGAGCCAAUUAUAAGAGAGUCAAAGAAAAGUAAUCCAAAGUAACAAUUUAACUUGAUCCGAUUCAAAGUUUCUAAAGCAAAAUAACGAAGGAGUUUUCGAGUCUCGCUGCUCAAUCAGACUGAAAGUCUCUUACAAAUUUCACUCAGCAUUCCAAGGAAAAUUUAACACUUAAGUUUUUCACUCGUUGCCUUUUCCUUUUCGGCCUCGGCCUUUAGGGUGUCUGGCACUCUGACUGGAUCAAUGAAAGUAUCCAAAUCAAUGAAAUCGGUAAUCUGGCUUGCAGCUUCGAUGAAGGUCUCCAAGUGGUCUUCAAAGUUUUGGCCCUCUGUAUUCCCAGAUCCAACUAUUGAUCUUAGGAAUGUGAGAGUGAGAGCAAGGGCAACAUCAGGUCUAUGACGUGCAAUGCAUUUCUUCCAUUGUGUCACUCGGUCUCACACUUGCGCAAGUUGGGAUAGGCAGGCUUCUAGUUCUCCAUCAAGUUCUUCCCUAGGGCGCAUGUCUGCAUUGAUUUCCUUCGUGGAUUCCUUCACUCGGGCUACAUGGUCCCUUGCCGCUUCAGUAUGCUCCUCUAGCCAGAUGAAAAACUCUGCUACCGAGUGGAUGCCUAUGGGGUCUCCUUGAUGUCCAUCCCGUAUGCUUCAAGUUCUUGGUGAACCUUAUGCGCCUCCUCACUCGGAUCGGAACAAAAUUCUGCACAAGUGAAGGUCAGUGACAAUGAGUAAAAAGAGGUCAGUUUGAAUGUCACUCGGCAGGAAGACAAUCAAUUACUUCAAGUUUCUUUCCAAUUUUCUGGUUAACGUCAUCUAGCUGGUUCACAAAGAAAGUUUAAGCUUCACCUUUACGGUGACUGAGUUCACCAAGAUCCUUCUCAUACUGCAUUCUACUCCCUCUGUUCCUAAAUAUAAGUCUUUUAGACAUUUCAAAUGGACUACAAGAUACGGAUGUACGUAGGCCCUGUUUGGUUCGACUGUGGAUUUCUAAAAGUAGCUGUGAAAAAUCUGCUGUGGAAAAUCUGAUGUGAAAAAAUGCAGGUCAUUUGGCAAACCAGCUGAUACAGCUUUUUCAGAUUUUGGCCCGCAGUGGAAUCAGAUUUUGAAAAGCACGUCCUGGGCUGCUUCCGCUUUUGGUUCUGAUUUUGGCAGCAGAUUUCUGGAAUUGGAUUCUGCUGGGUUCGUCCUUUGGUUCAGAUUCUGCUGCGCAGCAGUGGAAUCCGUCAAUAAAAUCUGAACCAAACAGGGCCUUAGAGUGUAGAUUCACUCAUUUUGCUCUGUAUGUAUUCACUUGUUGAAAUAUCUAGAAAGACAAAUAUUUAGGAACGGAGGGAGUAUUCUUCCCCAUGAUAUCCGACAGCUGUAAAUAUUUUAUGUGCCAGUCUGCGUAUGAUUUCUUCAAACCAUCAAACUAUUUUUGCAGCUCAUCAACCACUUUUCGGAGAUGGUCAUUGAGUUAUUUGACUUCUUGGAAUUCAUUCAAACUCGCAUAUGUUUUUCUAGUCUUUUCUCGGGCUUCUUCCCAAGAUUUGGCAUGCUCAACAUAUUUGUCCUCCAAGGCUUUCUUCACAGAUUCUGCAGAGAUGCAGUUCCUUAGUCGUUUAGUUAAAAGAACGUUUCAGACUUUACAUUUAUUGGAAUGAGUCUUGUUCGGGAUCAGGCGAAAGGAAAAUAACAAGUUCACUCAGAUAAUAAAGAUUACCUCCCAUGGAAGUUUCCUUUUUUCUAGCAGCUUGGUAUUGCCCUUCUCCUUCUUGGGUUCCUGGCGCACCUCUUCCAUCUCCCUCUGCAGCUCACAUACUUGGAUCCUAACUUGCAAGAUUUCUAUUAAAAGUCAGCAACCAUUUAAGUUAUUCCUCUCGGGUGACAUAUGAUCUGAGUGAAGCCAUGGAUCUAAAGCAAUUAAUCUAGAUCUAUGAAAGCCUUAGAGGACAGAAAUUUGAAAUUGUGUGUUCUCUUUGAUACUUAUUCAGAAUUGACUGGAAUUUAAACAAUAGACUACUAUGAAUAUACUUGAUUUUCUGUAAUGUUUUCAGAUUUUUCUGGGCAGUUCAAAUUUUCGCCUAAAAUUUAAACAAAUCUGGACAGAAAUUUGAAAUCCCGUUUUCUUUUUGGUCCUUGCCUGGAAUUGGAUUAAAUUUGAAUAUCAGACCCUAAACCAGGCUUCAAUGACGAUGUGUUCGGCGCGCAGAUUGUUUUUGGCAUUGCAAGGCGGGUUCCUUCUCCGAAUACUCCAACAUAGUCUUCGGACACAACGACCGCGUCUGGCUCUGCAAAACGAGCACCACACACAACCGCAUAGAGUAUAAUAUUUCACGAGUCCAAUCCGCUGACAACUUUUUGUAACGUGAUACCACGUCAUCACCCGGUUAUUAUUUCGAACCAUUUUUCGGCAUGCCACUUCGAGAUGCGGUCUCACUGGCACGUCUUGUCAAAGCAGAGAUCGUGUCCCCUUAUUGCGGGAUUCUCAUCAAUACAGGCGUGGGUAAUCCAACCGUGCCAUCUGCACGACCCUUGGGAACAUGCGAGUUUUAAGGCGAGUGGGGACGUGCUUGAUAUUCACUGCCUUUAUAAGGAGAUAAGGAUUCCCUUCUUUCACCCACGCCUUCUCUCUUUCUCUGCCUUCCCACUCUCAAGCUCCAGCGCCCAAGUCCUCGUCUUUUCCGCCUCAGGAAAGCACUCGAUCAUGUCCGGAUCUGGAGCGCAAGGCAAGUGGAUGGCCUCCUUCGUCAAGGAGAAGGACAUCACCAAGCUUCGGGAGGCCGGGUACCUGGACAAAGAAAUCGCCCACCGGCUUCCGGCCAAGGGACAGAUCGUCCCUACCCCGAAACCCAAUGAGAGGGUGGUGUUCAUCCCUCACUUUGUCCGCGGGUUAGGGUUUCCUCUCCACCCUUUCGUCCGUGGACUCAUGUUCUAUUACGGUCUAGAUUUCCAUGAUCUAGCCCCAAACUCCUUCCUCAACAUCUUGGCAUUCAUUGUCGUGUGCGAGGCCUUCCUCCGCAUUCCACCCCACUUCGGACUGUGGCUUAAGAUCUUCAACGUGAAGCCGAAGGUGGUGGAUGGCCAACAUGCAGAGUGCGGAGGUGCUAUGGUGAGCAAGAUGCCCAAUGUCACAUGGCCCAAAGGUACUUUUGUGGAGACCGUCAAAGAGUGGCAAAAACUGUGGUUCUAUAUCACAGAGCCCCGCGACGCCACCUGCGCUGCGGCUCCCGAAUUCAAAUCCGGAGCUCCAAUGCGGCUCACCUCCUGGCUAGAGAAGGGCCUGAAUUGAACUUUGUCGGAUGAGCUGAUAGUGCUGCAAACGCGCAUCCAGAGCAUGGUGGACAUGAACAUCAAGCUCGUCAACGUGAUCCAGGUGAUGCUAGUUCGCCGGAUCCUUCCAUGCCAGAGCCGGACUUGCCAUUUAUGGGAGUUCAAUCCGGCCGAGCACCAGACCUUGCAACAGUUCUUCGAAACUACGCACGAAGAUAUCUGGAAGGUGCUCUUUAAGGGAAAUGAGACGCCGCCGGAGACCACCGACGACCGUGGGCACGAUCUGGCCCACCCCGCCAGUGCGGUAAGUCUUUCACGUUUCAAGGUGCAUACUUUACUUGCUUAGUCAGGGAAGAUAUCCAAACCUCACUAUAUAUUUUUCCAGGGCUGGACAAAGAAGGCGGAGCGGAUUCGGUGUCCGGCUCCACUCCCCGAGGAACCAGCAAUUCCGCUUCUGACGAAGAUGCUAGUUCCGGUGCCUUACCGGCACUACAAAAAAAUACACUUCCGUGAUGAUACGUGUUUGUCACAGUAGGUCACGUUUUCUGUCAUGCAUGUACAUCCAUGACAAAUUUAUGACAGAAUCAAGAUAGUCAUACCUGUGCUGUCGUAGAAGUGUUCCAUGACAUUACCAAAAUUAUCAUCACGGAAGUGUCCACUUCCAUGACGAUAAAUCGCGCGUCACAGAAGUGCUUUCGUCAAGGGUGACCGACACGUGGCAUCCACCGUAACGGAACACCGUUAAGCUAUCGGGCCCGGUUUUGGAUCCGAUAACCCGUUAACAGCCCCGACAAAUGGGGAUUUUCCACGUGUAAAAUCAUCAUUGGCUGGAGGAAACACGUGUCGGCUCACCGUUGGGACAGAUGUCAUCCACUCAUUGGACCCAAAGCGCCUAUGAUACGUCGACACGUGGCACGGCCCAACAGAGGCCCAUUCCUGUGAAAAGGCCGGCCCGUUUGACUUGGUCAAAAGAUGGCGGGCCGGCCCACGGCAAGCCUGUUAACGGCAUGUUCGCAUAUAGCCCAUUUACAGCCCGCUAUCCCAGGGCCCGUUUACGGCCUAUCCGAAUUAGGCCCAGUAGCUUCAUCUAGGCCGUCCAAUAUAAUUCCAGCCCAUUUUAACUUCCGGCCCAUGUAUGGCUCAUGACGUCUUUCGGCCCAUAUGAGGCCCUUAGUAACCCUCGGCCCCUUAACGGCCCGUGGUAAAACUGGCCCGUAAUGAACAGUGUAUCACUUUAUACCCAUUAACGGCCCAUUAUUCCAUUGGGCCGUUUCCAGCCCAUGUUAUCUUUCGGCCUUCUCAGGGCCCAUUUAUUCUUGGGCUCAUUUUGAGCAUUCGGUUACUUACGACCCGUUAUUGUCAUUUUCUGCUUGUGGGCCAAAUUCAGCCCGUGGUUAAUUACAGUCGGCCUGUUUGUGGCCCGUUAAUACGUUGGGCCGUUUUCAUGUCGAAAAAAACCCGUUGGGCUGUUUUCAUAGAGUUAUCAAAUACGGCCUAUUAACGGCCCGUUAUUGUCCACGAAUAGUAUGGCCCAUGAUUGGCGAAAUGAUGAUACGCCCGUAGAAGGACCAUGGACCGUACGGCCCGUAAAAGGCCCAUGGAUCGUACGGCCCGUAGAAGGCCCAUGGAUCCUACGACCUGUAUAGAAGGCCAAUGGAUCCUACGGCCCGUAGAAGACCCAUGGAUCAUACGGCCCGCAGGAGGCCCAUGGUUACAACAGUCCGUGUGUUGCCAUGAUUAUUUUGGCCUAGUUUCCAAAAAUAGGUUAUUGUGGCCACUAGAAAAACACAGAAAAAGACUGCAGUGACUACAAGCAAACAACUAAACAAGACAAUAAGGAAAUAAAUAAGCAAGCAAUUAACGCUAGCCUAUUACCGCUAUUACACAUAUUACAUCCACUGGGCAUCAAAGUUCGCCACCAGUGCAAAUAUAGGGAACAAAGCAUCAUAUUACAUACACUGGCCGUCAAAAUUGGCCACCAUUGCAAAUAAACGCGGCAGCAAAACAAGAGCAUAACUGAAACAACUUCAGAAGAGCUCAAGAAAUGUGGUAUCCACCAUGCUGGCAAUAAGCUUAGCAAGCUUAUUAGCUUUGUCCUGUUUGGCGCUAAAAUCCUCCAACGCUUGCUGUUGCACCAGAAAGUAUGCAUCUGAAUGCUCCAGGGACUUCCGCAGUCCUUCCGCUUCUUGUCGCAGCACUGCUGAUCGAUGUCUUUUAGCUUGUAGUUGAGACUCAAGAAACCAAACUGAUUCAGAUAGUGAGUUUGAAUAGCUUCUGCAAGCGGUAGUGGCCAGUAACUCGAACAGUAAACCAAGACAGGACUUUGGGGUUGUCUCAUUGUCUUCGAGAUAGUCUUCCUUAGCUGUUUUAUCAGCUUUGUCGGAGACCAACAGGGAUGUGUCACUAUCCUGAACCUUAUCUGCAUUACUUCCUUUACCAUUGCUUAAUAAGUGACUCUUCCCCAAUAUUCUGUCAGCAUUCUAAAAGAAGUAACAAGCAGACACAUAACAGGUUUAGCAUGUACUAGUAUAUGAAACUCAUUUCGGUGAACCAGUUCAUUAGUAAGGUGGAAAGGAUUAAACUACCAAGUCUUCUAUUGCCAAGUACUAGUACAUAAUAAAAGCAUCAAACGAACAUAUAUCUAUGUCCUAUGGUCACUGCAUUGUCUUGCCAAAUCAAAAUAGAGACACGGUUCAAAUCAUAUCAGUUCAAGACAAAGCAGCAGUGAAAGAAUACAAAGCGUGUGAAACUACACGGCACAACAAGAUUUCAGAUGGGUACCACGGGUCUACAUGUACAACAAUACUAUUGGCUCUGUUGUGAUGCUAGUAAUGUGCAUGAUAUGAGAAGUCAACUGUAUACACAAUUGAAAUUGAAAUCAACAGAGCUAUUGAUAAGAGCAAGCCUGUUAAAGAAACAUGCGUGAACAUACCUGCUGUGCCAUUGGAGUUUCGAUUGGAUCCUUCAAUUUAAAAAUAAGUUUGUAUGAGUAAAUACAGUGAUACAAGAGCAAAACAGUAUGCACGAUAGCAAUCAUAGUUAAAAAAGGCGCGCCUAGGCUCUAGGCGUUGGCGAAACGCAUUGCGCAUAACUACGCUUAAUCUGUGCAUAACUGCGCAUAAGCAUGCGCUUUGGUCAGUAAAGCGCAAGGCGGUGGCAAAACACACAAUUAAUACCUAGCGCUUUUUUGAACUAUGAUAGCAAUGGAAUCUUAAAUUAGAACAGUUGUCCUUCAGGUUUAGGCACUUGUUCUACAUGAACAGAGUACAAUAAGACGCAAGAAUAUAGUACUUCAAAAUAGAAAAUGAGCUCAUAGACCUUACCACAUUCUUGGUUCGGGACCAGUACAGAACAAGGCGUUCCCAGUCAUCGUCCAGUAAAUGUGUCUCGGGAGAACGUAAGGGAAUUUGAUGAGUUUCUUUGCCGGUGAAGUACGUUUUCUUCAGGUAAUUCCGAUACUGCCACCAAGCAUUCUUAAAGAUAGUAGAGGUAUUAGCACAGGUUACCUCAUCCUGAGUUUCCAAAUCGGUCCUUCUCUAUAGAGAAAAAUGGGAAAAUUUGCUGUAUCAUAACCAUCAUGGAGGUAGGAUGUAUGGGACAAAGCAAAGUAAUUGCCAUGAAUAACAUUACUUACACAUAAAUCAUGGACAAACACAAGUAUAGGGGAUCUAUCGUAGUCCUUUCGAUAAGUAAGAGUGUCGAACCCAAAAAGGAGCAGAAGGAAAUGAUAAGUGGUUUUCAGCAAGGUAUUCUCUGCAAGCACUGAAAUUAUAGGUAACAGAUAGUUUUGUGAUAGGAUAAUUUGUAACGAGCAACAAGUAACAAAAGUAAAUAAAGUGCAGCAAGGUGGCCCAAUCCUUUUUGUAGCAAAGGACAAGCCUGGACAAACUCUUAUAUAGAGAAAAUCGCUCCCGAGGACACAUGAGAAUUAUCGUCAAGCUAGUUUUCAUCACGUUCAUAUGAUUCGCGUUCGGUACUUUGAUAAUUUGAUAUGUGGGUGGACCGGUGCUUGGGUGCUGUCCUUACUUGGAUAAUCAUCCCACUUAUGAUUAACUCCUAUUGCAAGCAUCCGCAACUACAAAAGAAGUAUUAAGGUAAACCUAACCAUAGCAUGAAACAUAUGGAUCCAAAUCAGCCCCUUACGAAGCAACGCAUAAACUAGGGUUUAAGCUUCUGUCACUCUAGCAACCAAUCAUCUACUUAUUACUUCCCAAUGCCUUUCUCAAGGCCCAAAUAAUGGUGAAGUGUCAUGUAGUCGACGUUCACAUAACACCACUAGAGGAGAGACAACAUACAUCUCAUCAAAAUAUCGAACGAAUACCAAAUUCACAUGACUACUAAUAGCAAGACUUCUCCCAUGUCCUCAGGAACAAACUUAACUACUCACAAAGCAUAUUCAUGUUCAUAAUCAGAGGAGUAUUAAUAUGCAUAUAGGAUCUGAACAUAUGAUCUUCCACCAAAUAAACCAACUAGUAUCAACUACAAGGAGUAAUCAACACUACUAGCAACCUACAGGUACCAAUCCCAGACUAAGAGACAAGAGGAUACAAGAGAUGAACUAGGGUUUGAGAGGAGAUGGUGGUGGUGAAGAUGUUGAUGGAGAUUGACCCCUCCCAAUGAGAGGAUCGUUGGUGAUGACGAUGGCGAUGAUUUCCCCCUCCCGGAGGGAAGUGUCCCCGGCAGAACAGCUCUGUCGGAGCCCUAGAUUGGUUCCGCCAAGGUUCCACCUCGUGGCGGCGGAGUCUCGUCCCGAAAGCUUGCUUGUGAUUUUUCUUCGGACGAAAGACUUCAUAUAGCAGAAGAUGGGCACCGGAGGGCCAACAGGGGGCCCACGAGGCAGGGGGCGCGCCCAAGGGGUAGGGCGCGCCCCCACCAUCGUGGCCAGGGUGUGGGCCCCCUCUGGUAUUUCUUCCGCUCAAUAUUUUUUAUUAUUUCCAUAAAUAACUUCCGUGGAGUUUCAGGACUUUUGGAGUUGUGCAGAAUAGGUCUCUAAUAUUUGCUCCUUUUCCAGCCCAGAAUUCCAGCUGCCGGCAUUCUCCCUCCUUAUGUAAACCUUGUAAAAUAAGAGAGAAAAGGUAUAAGUAUUGUGACAUAAUGUGUAAUAACAGCCCAUAAUGCAAUAAAUAUCGAUAUAAAAGCAUGAUGCAAAAUGGACGUAUCAACUCCCCCAAGCUUAGACCUCGCUUGUCCUCAAACGGAAGCCGAUAACGAUAAAUAUGUCCACAUGUUUAGAGAUAGAGGUGUCGAUAAAAUAAAAUACGGACAUGAGGGCAUCAUGAUUAUUGUUAAAACAGCAACAUAUAUGGAUAAUGUCAUAUGAUUUCUUAUGCUCAAGUAAUAAUCUAUUCACAAUGCAAAGUAUGAAUUAGAAACUUUAUUGAGAACCAACAAACUAUAAUCUCAGUCAUUGAAGCAAUUGCAAUUUAUCAUAACAUCAGAAAGAGUCUAUGUCAGAGCUUUUCAGCAAGUCCACAUACUCAACUCUAAUUUAGUCUUUCACAAUUGCUAACACUCACGCAAUACUUGUGGUUACGGAAUUUUAAUCGGACACAGAGAAAGAUAGGGGCUUAUAGUUUCGCCUCCCAACCUUUUACCUCAAGGGUAAUGUCAACAAUAAUAACUCAUGCUAACUUACAUCCAAUUAGAUAUAUAUGUCUGGAUCUUUCCAACACACUGUGCUUGCCAAAGGAUAAAAUAUAAAAAGGAAAGGUGAAGAUCACCAUGACUCUUGCAUAAGGUAGAAGAUAAUAGUAAAAGAUAGGCCCUUCGCAGAGGGAAGCAGAGGUUGCCAUGCGCUUUCAGAGUUGGAUGCACAAAAUCUUAAUGCGAAAGAAUGUCACUUUAUAUUGCCACUUGUGAUAUGGACCUUUAUUAUGCAGUCCGUCGCUUUUAUUUCUUCCACAUCACAAGAUCGUAUAAAGCUUAUUUCCUCCACACCAAUCAAUCAUACAUAUUUAGAGAGCAAUUUUUAUUUCUUGCUCCGAUGACAACUUACUUGAAGGAUCUUACUCAAUCCAUAGGUAGGUAUGGUGGACUCUUAUGGCAAAACUGGGUUUAAGGGUAUUUGGAAGCACAAGUAGUAUCUCUACUUGGUGCAAAGAAUUUGGCUAGCAUGAGGGGGAAAGGCAAGCUCAACAUGUUGGAUGAUCCAUGACAAUAUACUUUAUUUUAGAUAUAAGAAAACAUAACCCAUUACGUUGUCUUCCUUGUCCAACAUCAACUCUUUAGCAUGUCAUAUUUUAAUGAGUGCUCACAAUCAUAAAAGAUGUCCAAGAUAGUAUAUUUAUAUGUGAAACCCCUCUUUCUUUAUUACUUCCUAUUAAUUGCAACAAUGACCAAAGCUAUGUUUGUCAACUCUCAACAACUUUUAAUCAUCAUACUCUUUCUAUGUGAAGUCAUUACUCUUCAUAAGAUCAAUAUGAUCUCUUUUUAUUUCUUUUUAUUCUUUUCUCUUUUCUUUUAUUCACCCAAGAUAAUAGCAAAAUAAUCAAGCCCUCGACUCAACACUAAUCUUUAUUAUAUAGCUCACGGACUCGAUUACAUAGAGGGAUCAUAAAGCAAAACUCAAAACUAGAUCAUACUAAAACUUUAUUCUACUAGAUCAAGAUACUACUAAAAGGAUCGAACUAAGAAAAAUAGUAAAGAUAGGAGAUGUGGUGGUGAUACUAUACCGGGGCACCUCCCCCAAGCUUGGCAGUUGCCAAGGGGAGUGCCCAUACCCAUGUGAUUAUGUUUCCUUCUUCGGAGGUGUUGGUGUGAUAUUCUUGGCGAUGAUACCCCUCAGGAUACGAUUCUCUUCUUCGAGCUUAUUGAGUUGCUGCUUGAGAUCCAUUAUCUCCUCACGAAGCUUCCUGUAACGGCCAAAGCUCCUUGCACCCGAGGGUGUUGCAUAGCUGCGGGAGAACAAGUGACACUCUUCUUCAUAUUUUCAUAAGAAAGAAAUCUAACAUUGGAAGGGAUAACCGAGUUUGGAAUAGCCGAGCUCUGUAGUUCUCCCAUUGUGAAUCCAGCUCGGAAUCGAGAAGUGACUUCUUGAUCCUCCUCCAUGGUGUCUAUCCUUUUCAAAUCAGCCUCCAUCUCUUCCUCUGUUACUGGCCCGAAGUGGUCAGCGUCGCUAUUUGUCCUUGAUCUCGGUGCCGGAUGAGACACCCGGCUCUCCCCGACUGACUCUUGAGAAAACAUCUUGCUCUAAUCUGCAGCAGCAACAACUCGAAACGAAAAUAGAGGAUAUUUGCGUGAUACAGGAGUCAAAACCUUCGGGAGAUUAUAUAAUGAAUUUUUACCAACCAAAAUACGUAUCGUGCAAGAAAACGCAGUCCGGAGAGCGCACGGGGUGCCCACGAGGCAGGGGGGCUCGCCCAGGGGGGUAGGGCGCGCCCUCCACCCUCAUGGAGCCCACAUGUCCUUCCCGGACUGCUUCUUAUUUUCCUAUUUUUCUAAAUAUUCCAAAACGGAGAAAAAUUGACAUUAGAACUGUUUUGGAGUCGGUUUACUUACCGUACCACAUACCUAUUCCUUUUCGGAGUCUGAAACGUUCCGGAAGGUGUCCCUUAUGUAUUCCUCCGGGGUCACGGUUUCAAUAACAUUGGUUUCAACAUUUAUGGGAUUACCUGAGAUAUAAUGUUUGAUUCUUUGACCGUUCACCACCUUCGGAUUUGUGCCUUCGAAGUUGUUGAUUUUUAUGGCACCGGAAUGAUAGACCUCCUCGAUAACGUAAGGACCUUCCCAUUUAGAGAGAAGUUUUCCUGCAAAAAAUCUUAAACGGGAGUUGUAUAGAAAUACAUAAUCACCUAUAUUAAACUCACGCUUUUGUAUCUUUUUGUCAUGCCAUCUUUUAACUUUUUCUUUAAACAAUUUGGCAUUCUCAUAGGCUUGGGUUCUCCAUUCAUCAAGUGAGCUAAUGUCAAAUAACCUCUUCUCACCGGCAAGUUUGAAAUCAUAGUUGAGCUCUUUAAUAGCCCAAUAAGCCUUAUGUUCUAGUUCGAGAGGUAAGUGACAUGCUUUACCAUAAACCAUUUUAUACGGAGACAUAGCCAUAGGAUUUUUAUAUGCAGUUCUAUAGGCCCAUAAUGCAUCAUCAAGUUUCUUGGACCAAUUCUUUCUAGAUCUAUUAACAGUCUUUUGCAAAAUUAAUUUGAGCUCUCUAUUGCUCAAUUCUACUUGACCACUAGACUGCGGGUGAUAAGGAGAUGCAAUUCUAUGAUUAACAUCAUACUUAGCAAGCAUUUUACGAAAGGCACCAUGAAUAAAAUGUAUUGAAAUAAGUAAAAGUCAUCUUUUGUUCACCGACCGAAUAUUCCCUUAAGAACGCUAGCUUUCGGCUUCACCCAGUCUGAGGUACACAUCCGGCUGACCCGGCAGUAACAAUCGCAGAGGUGCUCCCCUUAUGCCCUAGACGAAUUAACGGGAACGUAGGGCCUAAACACAAGAGCCAGGCAACCCAGCUUGGCCAAAACUUAAGUCAUAUCGAUGCAUAUAAUGGCGAAGAAAAGGUACAUGUGGAAAAGUAACACAUGUGCGGGGGGCAUAGAGCCCGGAACAUAGUUAUCUUAAGCUUCUUUAUAACAAGCCCCCAGGUAUAAUGAGCACGCCUAGCGCGUCAAGAUUGUGUAGUCAAGACACAUUUUAACCUUUUAAGGCCGUGAAGAAAAAGGGAAGAAAGAAAGAAAAGACAGGUAGCAGAUAUAAUUUUUUUUGACGGAGGUAAGGAGACGAACGUCGAGUCCGGCACUAGGCGUAAAAUCUUCGGAGUCUGGCCGCGUUCCAUGGGUUUGGCUUGAGUCGAUUGUCCGAUGCAUCCCGCAGACGGUAUGCUCCACCGGUCAGAACUUUGUCAAUAAUGAAGGGACCUUCCCAUUUGGGCUUGAGCUUGUCCUUUUUCUUCUCUGGUAGGCGUAGAACGAGUUCACCAACGUUAUAAGUUUUGGCCCGUACUUCUCUGCUUUGAUACCGUCGAGCCUGUUGCUGAUAGAAUGCGAAGCAGGCUUUUGCCACGUCACGCUCCUCCUCCAGGGCGUCCAAACUGUCCUGCCGAUCAAGCUCGGCUUCUUUCUCUUCGUACAUGCGCACUCGAGGUGAGUCAUGAAUGAUGUCGCAGGGCAGUACUGCCUCUGCGCUGUACACCAUAAAAAACAGUGUGUAUCCGGUAGUGCGAUUCGGCGUGGUCCACAGCCCCCAUAGUACGGAGUCGAGCUCCUCAACCCAGUGCGUAUCUGAUUCCUUCAAGGAUCGCACUAAUCUGGGUUUAAUGCCGCUCAUAAUGAGACCAUUUGCUCGCUCGACCUGACCGUUUGUUUGGGGGUGAUAGACGGAGGCAUAAUCGAGCUUAAUGCCCAUGUUGCCGCACCAAAUUUUUACCUCGUCGGCUGUAAAGUUCGAGCCGUUAUCGGUGAUGAUGCUAUGGGGGACGCCGUAACGGUGUACAACCACGGAUAUGAAGUCUAUCACUGGUCCGGACUCGGCCGCUUUAACUGGUUUGGCUUCUAUCCAUUUGGUGAAUUUAUCUACCAUGACCAAUAGGUACUUUUUCUUAUGGCUUCCUCCUUUAAGGGGUCCAACCAUAUCAAGCCCCCAAACCGCAAAGGGCCAAGUAAUGGGGAUUGUUCGGAGAGCAGUAGGUGGCAGAUGGCUUUGGUUUGCAAAAAGCUGACAACCGACGCAAUGCUAGACAAGGUCCUGUGCGUCUGCUCGGGCCGUCGGCCAGUAAAAACCUGUAUGGAAGGCCUUGCUUACAAGGGCCCGAGCUGCGGCGUGGUGGCCGCCGAGUCCAGCAUGAAUUUCUGCCAAAAGUUGCCGUCCUUCCUCUUCGGAGAUGCACCUUUGAAGUACUCCGGUAAAGCUUUUCUUAUAAAGCUCUCCCUCGUGGACCUUGUAGGCUUUAGACCGCCGCACAAUGCAACGUGCCUCGUUUGGGUCCUCAGGGAGUUCUUGCCUAGUUAGGUAGGCCAAGAAGGGUUCUGUCCACGGGGCGAUGACAACCAUAAUCACGUGGGCCGAAGGCGUUAUUUCGGUGGCAGAGCCUCCGACUACGUCAGAGUGUUCGGUAUCCAGCGUGUGGCCGGGUCCAGACUGUUAUUGCCGGUCUCUCCUUCCCAUACCACGGAUGGCUUAAACAGCCUUUCCAAGAAGAUAUUAGGUGGGACAGGGUCGCGCUUAGCGCCGAUGCGGGCGAGGAUAUCUGCCGCUUGAUUGUUUUCUCGGACCACAUGGUGGAAUUCGAGCCCCUCGAACCGAGCUGACAUUUUGAGGACGACGUCGAAGUCUCGUCGGAUCCUCGUCGUCGAAGUCUCCAUUUAUUUGAGAUAUUGCGAGGUUCGAAUCCCCACGCACCUCUAGGCAUUGGAUGCCCAUGGAGACUGCCAUCCGGAGACCAUGUAACAGGGCCUCAUAUUCUGCCGCGUUCUUGGAGUCUAUGUAUAAUAUUUGGAGUACGUAUUGGACUGUAUCUCCGGUGGGGGAUGUUAGGACGACGCCUGCCCCCAGACCAGCCAGCAUUUUAGAGCCGUCAAAGUGCAUGAUCCAUUUGGAGUACGUGCCGUACUCUUUAGGGAGUUCGGUUUCUGUCCAUUCGGCGACGAAAUCUGCCAGUACUUGUGACUUAAUGGCUCGCCGUGGUUUGUAUGUUAUGUCGAACGGGAGGAGCUCAAUAGCCCAUUUAGCAAUCUGGCCCGUGGCAUCGCGGUUAUUUAUUAUGUCGUUGAGUGGUAUUUCAGAGGCCACCGUGAUUGAACCCUCUUGAAAGUAGUGUCGUAGUUUCCGGGAUGCCAUGAAGACCGCGUAUGCUAUCUUUUGAUAAUGUGGGUACCGUGAUUUGCAUGGAGUGAGGACAGUGGAUACAUAGUAUACCGGCUUUUGAAGCGGGAACCUAUGUCCGUCCGUCUCUCGUUCAACGACGAGCACUGCGCUUACAACUUGGUGUGUUGCCGCUAUAUAUAACAACAUUGGUUCGCCGAUAUUUGGCGCAGCCAAGACUGGGUUGCUGGCCAAGACGGCCUUUAUUUCUUCCAAUCCAGCCAUGGCCGCAUCCGUCCACUCGAAGUGUUCAGUGCGUCGAAGAAGGCGAUAAAGGGGUAGUGCCUUUUCUCCUAAUCGGGAGAUAAAGCGGCUUAAGCCAGCCACGCAUCCAGUUAAUUUCUGGAUUUGCUUGAGGUCUGUUGGGAUAGCCAACUGUGACAUAGCUCGGAUUUUAGCCGGAUUUUCUUCGAUUCCUCUAUUGGAGACGAUGAAGCCCAAGAGCUUUCCGGCGGGCACGCCGAAAACGCAUUUUUUCGGAUUGAGCUCGAUGUCGUAUGUUCGGAGAUUGUCGAACGUGAGCCUCAAGUCCUCUAUUAAGGAUUUGACAUGUCUGGUUUUAAUGACCACAUCGUCUACGUAUGCCUCCACUGUUUUGCCGAUUUGUGUUUCCAGGCAUGUCUGAAUCAUGCGUUGAUAGGUUGCACCGGCGUUUUUGAACACGAAAGGCAUGGUGUUAAAACAGAAGGGGCCGUAUGGAGUGAUAAAUGCCGUUGCGUCUUGACCGGAUUCCGCCAUCUUAAUUUGAUGGUAUCCGGAGUAUGCGUCGAGGAAACACAAUGAGUCGUGUCCUGCGGUAGCGUCGAUAAUUUGAUCGAUUCAGGGGAGGGGGAAGGGAUCCUUGGGGCAAGCCUUUUAAGGUCCUUGAAGUCGACACAUAGGCGCCAGGAUUUGUCCUUCUUUGGUACCAUCACCAGGUUUGCUAGCCAGUCCGGAUGUUUUAUUUCUCUAAUGAAUCCGGCCUCGAGUAACUUGGCUAGCUCUUCUCCCAUGGCUUGUCGCUUAGGCACAGAGAAACGUCGGAGAGUCUGCUUGACCGGCUUGAACCCCUUUAGAAUGUUAAGGUUGUGCUCGGCCAGCCUGCGUGGGAUUCCUGGCAUGUCUGAAGGAUGCCAGGCGAAUAUGUCCCAAUUCUCGCACAAGAACUCCCGCAGUUCGGCGUCUGUUGUGGGGUUCAGCUAUGCCCCGAUGGAUGCUGUUUUUGUAGGGUCCGUUGGGUGGACCUGGAAUUUGACUAUUUCGUCUGCUUGUUUAAAAGAGGUGGACUUGGGUCUUUUGUCGAGUAUCACGUCGUCCCUGUCCACUGUGGAGUGCAGCGUAGUUAGUUCUUCGGCCGCAAGGGCUUCAGAUAACGCCUCGAGGGCCAGUGCGGCGGUUUUAUUUUCUGCGCGGAGUGCUAUGUCCGGAUCACUAACUAGAGUGAUGAUUCUAUUGGGCCCGGGCAUUUUGAGCUUCAUGUACCCGUAAUGGGGUAUAGCUUGGAAGAUCGUGAAUGCCUCCCACCCUAAAAGGGCGUGGUAUCAGCUACUGAACGGGGCCACUUGGAAUGUGAUUUCUUCGGACCUAUAAUUCUCCGGCGUGCCGAAUACCACAUCUAGUGUGAUUGUUCCCGCACAUCGUGCCUCUCGACUAGGGAUGAUUCCUCUGAAGGUCGUGCUGCUUUGCUCAAUGCGGCUCUUGUCUAUUUACAUUUUUUGAAGAGUCUCCUCAUAGAUGUGGUUUAAUUCGCUGCCACCGUCCAUGAGCACUUUAGUAAGCCGGAAGCCGUCCACAAUUGGACUAAGGACCAAGGCGGCUGGUGCUCGGGUUGUUCGGAAUUGAGGUUCGUCACUGGCAUUGAAGGUUAUGGCCGUAUCGCUCCAUGGAUUUAUUGCUGCAACGUGGCAGACUUCGGCCAGGCUGCGGAGUGCUCGCUUGCGCCUAUUAUUUGAGGCGAAGGUCUCGAAGACUGUCAAUACUGUAUUGUUAUUUUCCACGGGAUGGUGCUCUGUGGUGUUGUUGAUGAGGAGAUCCUCGCCGCUCCUGGCCACCUGCCGGAGUAUCCAACUUGCUCUAAGGCUGUGUGUUGGCAUGGUAUCUGGUGUACUGUGAAUUUUGCAUGGCCCAUUGAGCCAUCCUUCCAAUAUAGUUCCACGCCCUGUAGUGGGCUUUGGUUUCCUUGUAAUUAGAUCGGGUGACUUACGAGAGUACACCCUUUUAGUUCGGACGGGGGGUUUAGUGAGAGUCGGAGGAUCCCAGAAUUUUGUUUGGGUUUUCCAGGCGCUUUCCAUCGCACAGUACUUCUGUACUAUGGCCGCCAAGUCAGCGAAGUGUGCUAUGUCACGGCGACUUAUGGCGUUGAGAAUUCCCUUGUCCGUGCAAUUUUUGCAAAAUAAUGAAAUUGCGUCUUCCUCGCGACAGUCCUUGACCUUGCUCUUUGCAAGGAGGAAUCUGGCCCAAUAGUGAUGUACUGUCUCUUGGGCUUUUGUCUAAUGUGGGAAAGAUCACUUAUGUCUGGGUGGGUGGGUAGAUUUAGGUCCAAACCCUGACCCGAUCUGAGACCUAGGGGCGGAGGAGUUUCCGAGCUUGGCAGUUCGGGCUCCGGGAUGUUGCCCAAUAGAUCCGGCCUUCUGUCUGAUUCUAGGUUCGAAGCUUGGGCCAUGUCCUCCCGUAGACGGGUAUCCGGCUCGGAGAGCUCGGGAAUCCGGACAUAGUUUGUCCUCAAAAUAGAGGAAGAAUCGCUACAUUGCUCCUCCACCACCGCUAUCUGAUGGGUGACCGGCGGAGAGUUAAUCUCCCUUUGGUUGGGUUUAAGCCCGAUCCGAUCAUAGUCCGUGGCGACUCCCAGGGCGGCGAUGCGAUCCAAGAGUUCGUUCAAGGAAGAGAGCUCCAUUGGAUCCAUCUGCUCGGCGAAUCGCGAGCCGAUGUGGAGGCUGUUUUUGAUGACCCGAGAAGUCAUUGUCGGCGCGACGGCCGAACGGGCGGUCAUGACGAAGCCGCCUAGUCGGAGAGUUUGCCCUACAGCCAGGGCUCCCCCAGAAGUAAUGUUGUCCUUGACAACAAGACGAGCCAUCAAGCCUUAUCGUGAUGGCACAGUGGAACUCUCAAUGAAAGCACCAAUGUCGGUGUCAAAACCGGCGGAUCUCGGGUAGGGGGUCACGAACUGUGUGUCUAAGGCGGAUGGUAACAGGAGGCGGGGGACACAAUGUUUACCCAGGUUUGGGCCCUCUCGAUGGAGGUAAUACCCUACUUCCUGCUUGAUUGAUCUUGAUGAUAUGAGUAUUACAAGAGUUGAUCUACCACGAGAUCGUAGAGGCUAAACCCUAGAAGCUAGCCUAUGAUUAUGAUUGUUUUUGUCCUACGGACUAAACCCUCCGGUUUAUAUAGACACCGGAGGGGGCUAGGGUUACACAGAGUCGGUUACAAGGGAGGAGAUCUACAUAUCCGAAUUGCCAAGCUUGCCUUCCACGCAAAGGAGAGUCCCACCCGGACACGGGACGAAGUCUUCAAUCUUGUAUCUUCAUAGUCCAACAGUCCGGCCAAAGUAUAUAGUCCGACUGUCCGAGGACCCCCUAAUCCAGGACUCCCUCAACCACAACCACCUCGUCCUUCAAGACCACGGCCACGGCCUCUUCCCCGCCACUCCUGCCCUCUUCCUCUACCACCUCCCAUUAAUUCAGGGCAUGAAAACCUAAAGUGUCCUGGCUGACCGCACUCGAAGCAUUUCUUCUCAGCUAUAUUUGAUCCCGACCUUUGAUAAUUUCCACCAUCUGCUGCAUAGAGUCCUGAUCGCCGAUGCAUGAUGCCUUGUGUCACUGACCCGGCUGCCUCUAAUUUCAACCUGGUUUCCUCACUAACAAUAGCUGAGAUUGCAUGUUCAAGUGUAGGUAGCUUUCCGCUACCAUAUAGUGCAGCCCGCCUAUUUUCAAAUUUAGGAUUAAGUCCAUUUAGGAAGUCCCUUACACGUCUCCUUUCUGUCCAUUUGUUAAAUUUCUCAAUACACUUGCCACAUUCCAUCUCAAUUGGAUCAAAAUAGUCCAUGUCAUUCCACAAUCUCUUCAACCCAGACACAUACUCCACAACUGAUUUAUCACCCUGACUCAACACCUGCAACUCGCUCUGAAUUCGACAAGCAAGCAUCUCAUUGCCGACUCCAGAAUACGUACCUUUCAACAGCCGCCAAAUUUCCGACGCCUCCUUAAUCCUUUCCACCUGCUUGGCAAUUUGAGGUGAAAGUGAACUCAACAGCCAUGCUCUGACCAACGCGUUGGUCAUCUUCCACCUUUGUCCUUCCUUAGAGUUCUCAUCCUCUGGUUUUUCAAUUGCCCCAAGAAUAUAGCCCUCUAGCCUUCUUGAGACAAGAAUUGUCUCUGCAUGCUCUGCCCAACUUGCAUAGGUUUCAGACCCUUCUAACUUUACUAGUGGCACCUGCAAUGGAUGGAUCUCUUCUUUAAUCUCUGGUUCUGAUUUUGAACUCCCUCCUUGCUUCCCAAUAGCCUCAAAUAGCAGCCUGUAUUUCUCAUCCAUGGCUUGCAACACAGCUGCAAGCUCUCCUGUUGUGACUCCAGUUGGAGCACUAUCCUUCUCAGCCAUUGUAGCUCACCUCUUUGGUCUUCUUAGCAGCCAAAAAAUCUUCCAACUUCAGGAUCAACCACCCUUGUGACUUGCUAUCCGCUCCAGACCAAGUCAAACCAGAGAGUCCAACAACUGUUGGUCUGUACCUCCUCCAAGCACUUUCGUCUGAACCUCCUCAAAGCAGCCUGACCGCCACAGCUUCACCUCCGUGGCCCCCAGCACGGGCAGCACCACGGUCGCCCAAAUCCCGCGUCUUCCCCGAUAGAUUCACCUCCGCAGCCUCCAGCACACAUCACUGUCAAUCCGCGUGACAAUGGAGUGAUUUCUUGCCUUUCUUCGAUACCAUGUUGUCUAAUUUGAUGGAUCUCACCUCUCCAGCACUCAUGCAGAAAAGGGGAAAACACAGAUUUCUGGAAGAACCCACACUCCCGAUCCAUUCACUCUCCUCCCAGUAUAUACACUUUACAAUUACAUCCAAGCCCUUCUCACUUUUCUGUUUUACACCUAACUCCCUACAACAAUGAGGAAUCAAAGAACCCCAGUUGCAAACUACAUAGUUCAAUAAAAUAAAUUGUGCAAAGCAACUCACUGAUCUGAGAUGUGUUUUGUCCUUCAAAAACUAAAAAAAUGAAAGUUUGGAGCUACAUUUGCAACAUGAGGAAAUAAUAUGUAUUUAUUUAUUUAUUAUUUGAACAGGGCAGAGACCUGCUCAAUUUUAAUUAAAUGAAGCAAUACAGAUACUUGUGAUCUACCUACAACAGUGACGGAAAGGCGCUAUCAAACCCUAGUUCUAGUAGCUUAAUAUCAUUUACGAUCAUAUAACAAAGUAGAAAUCAACCGGAAACACCCAAAGCUACACAACGGCAUAAAAAGAUAUGGAAGAAUAUGUACCUGUUCGAUAGAUAAUGAAAGAGAUAGUGCUCCUAGCCUUUGCAUCGCGAUCAUAUGAAAACUAAGAAAUUACCCUUACAGAUAUUAUGUGCCUCAAAGAUGAAUCAGGUUGCUUUUAAAGGUCCUCGGGCUCUUUGAGUCUGUGAUGCCAAGUGAUCCAAGACCUUCACCAAGCAAACUUCUGCAAUUGUCCUUGAAUUAGAAGAUUACUGUACAUAUUUAAACCAAGGUAUUUUUUUCUCAAACAUUUUGAAGCCCAAAUAACAAAGAUCUUUGAAUUUUUUCCGCAAAAAAAUCUCUUGUAUUCUGAACUCUAACUGCAUUUACACAUGUAGCAGAAAAAGAGGCGGCAACAGUGAAGCUACUACAUGUACAUGGAUCUUACCAAUAGCAGUGUCAAACAGUAUAGUCGUUCCUCUUUUCCUUUUAUAAAUAUUAAGGCAAGGUAACAAUAUGAAGAACCACCAGUAUAUCUAUCUAUUGGAUGUGGAUUUCAUACUGUCCUGGAAAAAAAAUCAUGUGAAGAUAAAGUGGCAAACAUCAGAAAAUAAGAAGACUGGAUUAACAUAGGAUAACUGCAAACUCCAAAUUCAUUUUCCAUUUCCUCAUCAUAAUGUGAUGGUUUUUAAUGAUACCGCUAGAGCAUAAUGUUCAUACGCAUCCCAGAGUUCUGAUGCAUUGUCAAACUCUACAGAAUCUCAACUGACUUCCUCCUUACCUUUAUAAAACUUUAGUUUGGCAAGGAAAAAGAAUUACUGUUGUUGGACCUUCAUGUUUAAAAAAUGAGAGACGGAAAAUUAACCUGGUAGUAAUCAAGUUCCACCAGGUCCGCAUAGAUGAAAACAUGACUUAAAUUUUAAUACGACCAAUAAAACUCAUGUGUGUUUUGAUUGCUUCAAGUGACCCAAGGUCUAUAUCGUGCAUAUUUAUUUUCCCAAUGAAGAUUACUCCACAAAAUAUACAAAGUAUUCGCCAAGCAGAGCAUUUUCACAGAGAUACACAUGUGAAAAAUGUUAUUGUGGUUUACGGAUGCGAGUAUUUCACCUUCUCGAAAACUAAUUUACUCCUGUAGCGCUUGUCACUUUUGAUUUGCCAACGGUUUUAGAUCACAAAUGCAACAGGACAAGUAAAUUUUGGUUUUCUAAAAAAACAUUGCUCCAGUGCAAAUGUGAUCUUUCAGAUCUAGACAUGAAACUCCAAAAAUAAUGGAUGGAAAAGAGGGAUCCAGACUCUCCCUUUCGCGACCGCGUCGCCCCCCCUGGUGGGCGACCGCGCGUCCUUCCUCCUCCCUCCAGGCCCCCUCCCUCCCUCCCGCCACCGUCGCCGGCGCCGGCGCCCACGGCCUCCCAGCCCUUUCCCUCCCUGUCGCUCUCCGGCGCGGGCGGAGCUGCUCUGGGGGGGUGCAAUUAGGCGCCGACGGUUUGGCGUGGCGGCGGGGCUCCAUGGCGCGACGCAGGCGGGCAGCUGGGCGGCGGCGCGGCGCGAUCUGGUGUCGUCCGCUCGGCCCAGAUCUGGGCCUGGUUAGGCUGGCGGCGGGGAUCGUCUCCGGCGUGGCUUCUGGGAGGCGGGGGAGACGCGACGAGCGGCUAGGUGCUGGCGGCGCCGACGCCGACCUGCUGCAUCGUGGCCGGCGGGGUCUAACGGGCCCGCUUCGGGCCUGGCUGUGCCAGGGGUUGCCCGGCAUACCCCGCUGCCAUGUCCGGACGGCUACCGCGACGGUGUCGGAGGCACGGGCCUCCCGCACGACUGCGGUGGAGGUGGUUCCCUCCUGCUCGGCGUCGGUGUUGCUGCUCCCGUUGUGGUGCGCUUCUCUCCGGUCGUCUUGGCCUCGUGGUGGUGUUCGUAGUGAGGCGGGUCGGUUCCGUCCGGUUGGGCGGUUGGGUUUGAGAAUGCGGGAGAAAUCCCUGCCGGCUUCGGCCCCGAUGCGGUGACACCUGCGGGUGCCAUCAUUCCUUCCUGAAGGGUGUCGGUGGUAUUCACCCCCACCUCCCUCCGUGUGCCGGGGGAAACCCUAGGACUCGUCCGGGUAGCAGCGUCGUCGGUGUCGCAUUCCUCCUUGGAGGUGCUGCUUGGUACGCGGCGGUACGGAGCCUUGGUCUGUGGUGGUUUGUAUCCGGUGGGCGCCACGGUGGCGGGUCAUCCGUGCUUUGCCGAGCUGCCGUGGUUGGCAUUUGUUUCUUCUUCUUUUUCUUUUGGCGUGUUGUGCUGCUCGCCACAGCGAUCUUUGUACUCGGUGUUGGUUGCUUUGAAAUAUAAAGCGGGGGGAAACCUUUUUUUGGUAAAAGAGGGAUCCAUGAUGGGUGUCAUUAUUGAGUAUGUGAAAAAUGUUGUUGUGGUCUACGGAUGCGAGUAUUUCACCAUCUUGAAAACUAAUUUACUCCUGUAACGCUUGUCACUUUUGAUUUGCCAACGGUUUUAGAUCACAAAUGCAAUAGGACAAGUAAAUUUUGGUUUUCUAAAAAAAUACUGCUCCAGUGCAAAUGUGAUCUUUCAUAUGUAGACAUGAAACUCCGAAAAUAAUGGAUGGAAAAUAGGGAUUCAUGACGGGUGUCAUUAUUUACCGAGUAAGAGUACCAAUGAGAUGGUGAAAGCAAGAGGCGUGAGAGACGGUGGCCCCCUGUAUGCUGCUGGCGGUUUGCCAGUUUUCCACUGGCGACCUCCUCCUUGCUAGCUGAUCCUCCCACGGUCCCACCGCCUCCCGCCAUUCGUUGCACCACAACCCGGUGUCCCGUCGUCCGUUGCCCCACCAGCCGGUUUCCCGCUAUCCGUCGCCACUCGCCGGCCCGUGCCAUGGGAGAGGAGAACAUGGGGGUGUGGCGGUAGAGGCUAUGGGAAGAAGACGGGGUUGUGCCACCAGCCAGUCUCCCGCCAUCCGUUGCCACUAGCUCGCCGGCCCCUACCAUGGGAGAGGAGAACGUGGGUGUGCGGCAGUAAAGGCUACGGGGAGAAGAUGAGGUGGAGCGAAGAUAGGGAGAUCGCGUUACCUGGGCCGUCAUUCGUCGCUGCCGUAGACGCGCCGCUCCUUCUCAUCGCCCUCCCCGCGUGGAGCUCCUCCUGGAGUCGAUGAAGAAGAAACGAUAUGGCAAGGGCGUGAUCCACCGCUCCAAUCUAGAGAGAUGAUAUGGCUGCAGUGUGCUGCCGCUUGAAGUUGUCGCACGCAGGAGGAGGUCAGCGACGGAGAUAGAGCCACGAGAUCGAGAGCGAUGGAAUUGGGGGAAGGGGAGUGGGAGCCUGGAGGUGGGACGACGUGCGUACAUGGGCUGUUUUAUUUUCUUUUCCUUUUUUUCUUUUCGUGGGAGGAGGUCUUUUUUCACGUACAAGGAGAGGGGGAAUCGAACGAGGCGGAUCUCGUACGUGGGCUGAGUUGGUGAUUUUUGGGCUGCUGCAUGCGUGUGGACCUCGGGCGAUGGUUUUUGUUCGAAGGGAGGGGGAUCGAACGAGGGCGAACCAUCAGGAUGUUCGACCCCCCUUUAAUAGUAGAGAUCUCCUUCCCUGUCUUUUCUGAAAUUAUCAGAACCUGCGGCUGUACCGUGGGAAGGCGCGGAUGGAGGGCUCCUGGUUCUGGCAUUUUCAUGGUCCGCAUGGCCCGCACGGGGGCAUCCAUGAGGUCCGCUCCACACAGAGGACGAUGUGUCCGGCGCCAGCACUAGCGAUGAGACGUGGGAGGAAGAACCGAAGCUGCAAGGUGAAGGCCUGCGAUGGCGCGCAUGGCGUGGAGGUGGCCGGCAUGCAUUAACGUUGUGGAAUAACGUCUGCACGACGAGGAUAUGAGAAAGUGGCGCAGCGCAAGCCGCUGGGUCGCACUGAGCUGACGACCCGCGAUGGCGCGCAAGGCGUGGAGGUGGCCGGUGACCUGCGUCAUGGCAAUGGCCGGCUAGAGGUGUGCGACGCGGCGCGCGUACAAUGGCUACAUGGCCUUCUCGGCUUCGUGUUCCAGUCCCUUGGCAAUCACAUCGUUGGCAACUAUGUCGUGCCGCGGGCCACGGCAAUAUGUACAGGCGCGUGCUCGAAGUGCUCCUUGAUUGUGAGCAAUGGAAGCUAUGAUGCAUAGCAAUGGAAGCUGUAUGAUGCGAUGCUUUUGGUUAGGCAGCGUGCUUUCACGUAGAAGCUGGCUUUGAAGCAGCAAGUAGGGGGUGGAUUCUUCAGGAGCUAGCUCACACGUACAGUACGUACCAACUUGCACGCCACUAGCUUGAUCGAUCUGUGCCGACACGACAUACAUCAGAGAUGUUGGGGCAUGCCGUGGACUUUGCCACACACCGCAGUGUCGGUUGCUGCAGGUGCUCACAACGAGGCAAGCAUCAUCGUUCCCGUUCGGGCAGCUCCAAAAGACAGUAGCAGGCAAGAAGAUGGAUAUGGCGUGUAGGGCCGCUAAGUCAGUGAGAGAACCUAGAAUCCCGGCCAGGAUUAUCUUUUUUUCAGUGCCACAAACAGGGCUAGGGUGGAUGUAGGGUUAAUAUUGACGGGGAUCUGAGAGUUCAGGGUACCGAUUUCAGGGAUUUAGACGUGAGGGUUUGAUUCCAACGAGCCCUAUGACUUUAAGGUUUAAAAUAGACUUCACUCCCCCUAUGGCGAUGCGGCUGACUGAUGAUUGGUAGAUGUAGCUAUGAGAAGAGAGGUGCGGAUUGCUGGCCGUUCAUCUACUUUUCUUUCUUUUUUCCUUUGUAGUAAUAGAGUUUUCAGCUUUUUUUUGUGCGCCCCCAGUGAUGGUGAGACUUCUAUUGGAUGUCAAGGAUGUGGUUUUGUGUGUGUGAAUGUUGGCUGAUGCCACAAUCUGGGAGGACGACAAAACAAUACUUUUUGUGUCGAAUAAGUUGUUUUGUCAGUGUUCAUGCGGGAAAAAAAGAAUUGAGGGCAUGGGCUCCUUUUCUAAACAAAAAUUGGAGUAGGAUCGCAUGUACUCCCUCCGAUCCAUGUAACUUGUUGCUGAAAUAGUUGUAUUUAAUACUGAAAUACAUCUACAUACAUCCAUUUGAGUGAUAAGUAAUAUGGAUCGGAGGUAAUAAAAAAGAUAAAUUCGAAGGGAUGGCACAAGAGCAAAGAAGUCCAAGCCAAGAAAGAAGUCCAGCAAGAGAAGCCCACCAUGGUAGAGGGAUAUGAAGGAUUUUUCCACCAUGAGGCAUGGAUUCACUCCCUUUCAUAGUCCGCCAUGGACGCAUAUGGACCCAAGGUUACCAAUCCUACCCCUCCCACCUACAUCUCAAUCUAAGGAAGAUCGCAUCUUCUCUAGAUGUUGGCCGCUAUGUUUGGUUUGACAAUUCGCCGGAUAUUGUUUGUAUGCCUUAGAACAUUUUGCAUAAAAAAUAUACUAUGUUCCACUAAAAAAGACCUACCAUCUCAAGGGUAGUCUUGAUCAUUUGUCAAGAAUCCCUAGCCCCUAUAAAGCCCCCAUAGGCAUGUAACUCAUUCACUCUUACUUGAAUAAAAUUAGAGGAGGGUAGGGAGAGCACUAAAACUUCAAGCCUCGUUCAAAGAGCUCUAGGGUAGUGUUCGAGGAGCCACAUUCGACUCAAACUGACAUUGAGGAAGAGAAAUUUGGAGAGCGUGCCGAGUAGUCCUGUUCGACUUAGGCCUGCCACCAAACCUUCAUCAAUGUCUUAUUAAUGUAGGACUAGGUCACACUCCGUCGAGUCGACUGGACCUAUCCAAAAAACAUUGAUGUCGCGAUCUUAUCAUGUAAGAUAACUGUCGUGGGAUAAACUUGACAGUAAGAGAGGUAGGAGACGAGUCUUGAUCUAACGAGAUGCAGGUGGGUGACUCAAGAUAUAUACACAUUCAGGCCCGUCUGCGAUGGAGGUAAAAGCCCUAGUCUUGUAUCAUUGAGAGGUGUUCUUGCAUAUGGUUUUGCGAUUGCAACAGGUUUGAACCUGUAGCUUGUCACCAGGGGUAGCCUUAUAUAGAGUGCGCUUUACCCCUGGGUUGUUGUUAGCUACAUUAUAUGUGUGUAAUAAUGCCUGCCCACUACAUGAAAUAAUAGAAGUAAUUAAUUGCUAUGAUGAAAACUCAUUAGUCAUAAAUGCUUAGUGGAUGUCCACCUUGAUGCUCCUGGGCAUAGCUCUCCUGGAUGGCCCGAGUGAAGUUUAUUUCCCGAGUGAAGUUUAUUCGAGUGAGGGUUGCUUUGUGGACCGAGUGAGGUGAUCCUUCCUACAAGUGCCCAUGCCGAUUGACAAAAAACCUUGUUGUUGACAUUAUCUUGGGCCAUACAGGAUGUGAGCUUGGGCCUCUAUGACCUUUGUUGGGUUUUAUAUCUCCGUGGGCCUACCUGGUGGAGGAUAACCUCAUCCACAACCUUCGCUAUAAGCUCUACAUCAUACACACCUCCAAUUAAAAUAUUUGUUGCCCUCGCUAGUCUAACAACAUCCGCAAUAAUCUCAAUUUUGACCAUGUUGCUAACACCCCUAAUCACCGUGUUGUUUCAUUACAACAACAGUGAAAUACUGGAAAACAUAUUUGUGAAAUUGUUCAAAUCAUUUUACUAAAGUAAUCGCAAUUUUUGGAAUAGUGAAAUAUUUUAAAUCAGUUUAAUGAAAUAUUUAAAUUAACAUUUUUUAAUAGUGCAAAUCACUUUUCUGAAAUAAUUUAAAUCUCUGGAAUAAUGGAAUAUCCAAUAUCACUUUUCUGAAGUAAAUGAAACAUUAGAAACCGGCCACUUGUCUGAAAUAGUGGAAAUAAAUUUCUGAAAUAGUUAAAAUCACUUCUCUAAAAUAAUCACAAUUUCUGGAAUGAUGAAAUAUUUGCAUCAUUUGGAUAUUUUGUCAAGAAAUGUUUAUUUAGUAUGUUUGCAUUACCGAUAUAUGAAUACAGAGAUGUAAAUUUAUUACAUAUACAGGAUAUAUAGAUAUCCCAGAAUACACAGGGAGGUAGAGCAGUAGGAGCAUCGCCAGAAAGGGUUUUGCGCGUCGAUCAAUUCAGACCCAAGCACCUAGCAAGUGAGGUUAUUCCCUGGGUCGACGCCGAAC
rnacentral:lncRNA from 1 species